CGAAAACACACACACACACCAACAUCAACACAAAUUGAAGUGUGUGUGCUUGGCAUUAAAAUCCAAAACUUAUAGAGCUGCCCUGGCAUUGUGCAGGCCAAGUUCACACUAAUAUAAAUGUGCUGUGACUUUACGUCUAUGCACAUAUAUUUCGUUUUCCUGACCAGGCAAAUUGUUUGACUCUCCGUCCAAAUUGAAGCGCUUGGCAAAUAUUUUCAGUACAGUCCGCAGCUAAGCUGGACCAGCAGACGCAGCAGCAGCAGCAGCAGCAGCAGAAGUGACGUGUGCGACGGCUUCUGGAAAAUUGUUGCCGGAAAAAUAGCAACAUAACUGCAAAUGAAAUUUCGUAGAUUUCGCUGCAAAGUAAAUGAAGAAUAAUGUGCAAAAGCAAAUUGCCAAAAAGGGGCGUAAGCGACAGCAACAGAAAAUAGAAAAUACACAAAUACACAACUAAGAAGAUUUUAGCUGUUAGCCUAACCUAACUAGAAGAUACUCCUUGACACUAAGAGGAUACAAUUUGCAAAGGAUUAACUUAAGGCGCCAUAAAUAUUAUUGCGCAUCAGCUUUGGCAACCACAGAAAUUGGCAAGUCUAAACAAAAGAUUUACGCUGCGAUUGUUAGCUUUCUAUGCCCGCUUUCAGCAGCUCUUUGUGUACUGGAUGCUCGCCAAGAUGCCGACAAAGAUGUGAGCCCGGCGAUGGAGCAACUUUUUAAUUAAGAAAUCUUGCGGCAUUGCUUAAAUAUUUCAACUGCAGCUGCAACUGUUGCAACUGCAAUUGGUUCCUAAUUAAGACAUAAACGCACGCGCUGCCACUUGAAUAAUUUGUGGCCAACCCAAAGUUCGAGGCGUGGCACCAAUUCAAACUUUUAUUUAUGGUCAUAAAAUGCAAUUACACAUCAUCUUUAGCACGGCUGAACGGGCCAAACAACAUCCGCUUGGGCGCAACAGCCCUAAUCGAACAUAUUUCUUUCUCUGUAGCUGAAAAAAUACAAGCAAUAAAAUGAUGAACAUUCA